rnacentral:rRNA from 1 species
GUGGGGAAUUUUGGACAAUGGGCGCAAGCCUGAUCCAGCAAUGCUGCGUGCAGGAAGAAGGCCUUCGGGUUGUAAACUGCUUUUGUACGGAACGAAACGGUCCGGGUUAAUACCCUGGGCUAAUGACGGUACCGUAAGAAUAAGCACCGGCUAACUACGUGCCAGCAGCCGCGGUAAUACGUAGGGUGCAAGCGUUAAUCGGAAUUACUGGGCGUAAAGAGUGAGCAGGCGGUUUUGUAAGACAGGCGUGAAAUCCCCGGGCUCAACCUGGUAAUUGCGCUUGUGACUGCAAGGCUGGAGUGCGGCAGAGGGGGAUGGAAUUCCGCGUGUAGCAGUGAAAUGCGUAGAUAUGCGGAGGAACACCGAUGGCGAAGGCAAUCCCCUGGGCCCGCACUGACGCUCAUGCACGAAAGCGUGGGGAGCAAACAGGAUUAGAUACCCUAGUAGUCC